ensembl:snoRNA Gm25402 predicted gene, 25402
GCCUGUAUUCCAAGUUGAUUGUGGAUUGCUUAUGCCCUGGUCAUUGAUACAGCAGGGAUAGGAAGCGAAAGCCUUUUCCUGUGUUUGGAAGGUCAACUCCUGUCCUUGUGAAACCUUGGUGCUUUCGAAGA